AUUCUGCGCUGGAUAACUGCUCCGCCUCAUCGGCGGAGAGGAAAGUCCGAACACCCGCCGAGUGCGUAAUUUAUUGUGCGCUCGACAGCAGGGUAGCGGGUAACACCCGUCCGCCGCGAGGCGCGAGGUGCGAACAGAAACGUUCUCGACUCGAAAGAAUCGGAAAAACCUGUACCCUUGAGUUUUGAUACAUCAAAACAAAACUCGGAUAAGUUCAGCAGGUUUAGCCCGGUUUAUAAAAGGGUAGGCGAAGACCGGGAUGAAACGGCUAAAUCCUUACCUGGGUGCAAGGCCGUGUCCCGCCUUUGGCGGGAAGUGCCGCUUGACCCUUCAAGUAAUUGGGGGGCUAGAUAAAUAGUUAUCGUCCCGCCUUUGGCGGGAUACAGAAUUCGGCUUAUAGGCGUAGAAUCUUA
rnacentral:RNase_P_RNA from 1 species